rnacentral:tRNA from 1 species
GGAUUUGGGGCUCACUGGUAGAGCACUCACCUUGCAACUGUGAGGCCCUGGGUUCCAUCCCCAGCACCA